rnacentral:rRNA from 1 species
GACAGAGGGUGCAAACGUUUGUUCGGAAUUACUGGGCGUAAAGCGUGUGUAGGCGGUCCACUAAGUCGGAUGUGAAAGCCCUCGGCUUAACUGAGGAAGUGCACCCGAAACUGAGUAGCUGGAGUACGAAAGAGGGUCGCGGAAUUCCCGGUGUAGAGGUGAAAUUCGUAGAUAUCGGGAGGAACACCGGUGGCGAAGGCGGCGACCUGGGUCGAGACUGACGCUGAGGCGCGAAAGCGUGGGGAGCAAACAGG